rnacentral:lncRNA from 1 species
CCCCGCAGCUCAACGCCCCUCUCACCUGCUGCCAGGUGAAGGGUGGAACCCCUGCUGCCAGGCUGAGCACUGGGAUUCCUCACUGGACUCUUUUGCUGUCCGUAAGCCCGGGUGAUGCGUUCUCUGGAGGCCUUCAAGGUGCAGGAGCUAAGUGAAUUUUCCCUGGAGGCUCCAAGAGGCAAAACUCUGGAUCGGAGGUUGUUUUCUCCCAGGAACAGGGAACUACUGCCCCCUGGAGGAUAAAAAGAAUCUCUCACUGCCCCGACUGGAAAAUCGGAAAGUCAUAGGAUUUACCUCAGAGAAUUAUGAUGAGGAGUCUUACUCUGAGCCACCCACUUUGAUGGAA